rnacentral:tRNA from 1 species
GGAAGAUUGGCCGAGCGGUUUAUGGCAUCUGACUCUAAAUUAGACGAAUCAGAAAUGGUUCCGGGGGUUCAAAUCCCUCAUCUUCCGA